UACGUAGGGGGCAAGCGUUAUCCAGAAUUACUGGGCGUAAAGCGUGCGCAGGCGGAUUCUUAAGUCAGAUGUGAAAGCCCCGGGCUUAACCUGGGAAUUGCGUUUGAAACUGGGAGACUGGAGUGUGGCAGAGGGGGGUGGAAUUCCACGUGUAGCAGUGAAAUGCGUAGAUAUGUGGAGGAACACCGAUGGCGAAGGCAGCCCCCUGGGUCAACACUGACGCUCAUGCACGAAAGCGUGGGGAGCAAACAGG
rnacentral:rRNA from 1 species